UCAGCUUGGAAAUCGGGGCCUCUGGCCUUGAAUUGUAGUCUCGAGACGUACCGCCAACGGAGGCGCAGAUGUAAGCCUCUUGGAAAAGAGCAUCAACGAGGGUGAGAGUCCCGUUCGUCAUCUGCAGUCCCCCGUGUACGGUGUGCGCUCUAAGAGUCGCGUUCCUCGGGAUUGGAGCGUAAAGUGGGUGGUAAAUUUCAUCUAAAGCUAAAUAUUGGUUCGAGACCGAUAGCAAACAAGUACCAUGAGGGAAAGGUGAAAAGGACUUUGAAAAGAGAGUUAAAAGUGCCUGAAAUUGCUGAAAGGAAAGCGAAUGGAACCAGUCUUCUUGGCGAGAUUGUUGUGGGCUUCCGCCUACAGUGUUUCUUGCCUUGAUUGUCAACGUCAGUUCACGGUCGAGGAAAACUCCUGGUGAAUGGUAACCUGCCCCAGGGUGGGUGAACGCGCUGGGCAGAACUCAUCCGCGGACUGAUUCCUGCGUGGCGGGUUUCAGUGUCUUGUGUCCCUGGUGCCGCCUUCGGGUUGUGUGCUAGGCGACCAGGGCGUCUUCCCGUCACAAAGACGAUGACCAAAUGGUUCUCUUCGACCCGUCUUGAAACACGGACCAAGGAGUCUAACAUAUGUGCGAGUUCACGGGCGGGUAAACCUGCUUGCGCAAUGAAAGUGACUGCUGGGAUAUUUGCACCAGCAACCGACCGAUCAAUUGAGUGAGGUUUGAGUAUGAGCAUAUCUGUUAGGACCCGAAAG
rnacentral:rRNA from 1 species